UGGGGAAUAUUGGACAAUGGGCGGAAGCCUGAUCCAGCAACGCCGCGUGAGGGAUGACGGCCUUCGGGUUGUAAACCUCUUUUCAGUACCGACGAAGCGAAAGUGACGGUAGGUACAGAAGAAGGACCGGCCAACUACGUGCCAGCAGCCGCGGUAAUACGUAGGGUCCGAGCGUUGUCCGGAAUUAUUGGGCGUAAAGGGCUCGUAGGCGGUUUGUCGCGUCGGGAGUGAAAACAGCGGGCUUAACUCGUUGCUUGCUUUCGAUACGGGCAGACUAGAGGUAUGCAGGGGAGAAUGGAAUUCCUGGUGUAGCGGUGAAAUGCGCAGAUAUCAAGGAGGAACACCGGUGGCGAAGGCGGUUCUCUGGGCAUUACCUGACGCUGAGGAGCGAAAGUGUGGGGAGCGAACA
rnacentral:rRNA from 1 species